CAAGCUUGACGGCAUUAUCAGAUUUGUUACAAGGUUGUUCUAACAAGUCUGAUACAGUCAUGAUAUAACAAGAAUGUUACAAGGUUGCCGACACAAGGUUGUAACAAUAUUGUUAUAUCAUUAAUUAAGCUAUAAAUACAUUAAUUAACACUGAAAUAAACUUAUUAUUAUUAUUAUCAUAACUGUAUCGGACUUGUUGGAACAACCUUGCAACAAGUCUGAUAAUAUCAACAAGAUUG